rnacentral:lncRNA from 1 species
GUCUGGUGCUCUGCAUUGGUAAUGUAGAAAGCAAGUUCCAAAUUCUCAUUACCUUCAGGAACAGCCUUAAAUACAACAGAGCUACCACCACCACGGCCACCUCUUCUUCCUCCUCUUCCUCCUCCUCUUGUAUUCUCAUAUCCUUUGAAGGCAAUCUUAAGCAUCCAUUUUCCCAGCCUGUUCACUCUGUGCCUCUGGAUUUGCUAUCUAUAGAAGCCACACUUUCAUUUUUACACAUGUCCUUGUUUUCUCCUGGGAUGGAUGUAUAUAAAGUGAUGUUUCAGACAGAGGAAAUGCAUUUCCCCAUGUGAUGAUGAGUCCAAGGAGGAGGCUUCCAUAGUCCUAAUUCCCUAGGACUCCAUUAUGUAUCCAGGAUUUCCCAUAGUACAUGGUUCAACUAUAUCA